GAUGAACGCUGGCGGCGUGCCUAAUACAUGCAAGUCGAGCGAACAGAUGAGGAGCUUGCUCCUCUGACGUUAGCGGCGGACGGGUGAGUAACACGUGGAUAACCUACCUAUAAGACUGGGAUAACUUCGGGAAACCGGAGCUAAUACCGGAUAAUAUAUUGAACCGCAUGGUUCAAUAGUGAAAGACGGUUUUGCUGUCACUUAUAGAUGGAUCCGCGCCGCAUUAGCUAGUUGGUAAGGUAACGGCUUACCAAGGCAACGAUGCGUAGCCGACCUGAGAGGGUGAUCGGCCACACUGGAACUGAGACACGGUCCAGACUCCUACGGGAGGCAGCAGUAGGGAAUCUUCCGCAAUGGGCGAAAGCCUGACGGAGCAACGCCGCGUGAGUGAUGAAGGUCUUCGGAUCGUAAAACUCUGUUAUUAGAGAAGAACAAAUGUGUAAGUAACUAUGCACGUCUUGACGGUACCUAAUCAGAAAGCCACGGCCAACUACGUG
rnacentral:rRNA from 1 species